CUCCAAGCACUGCCGACUGCAAGCUGCAAGCACAAACACACCUACUGGUCAGUGAAAGACGGCCAAAUCACAUCACUUCAGCUCUGUGAGAAGAAGAGGAAUCUAGCAACGGCGUCUUGGCUUGAGACCCGCUGAGGGGGAGCUACAUGAGGUUCGGUGACCUAAAGGUCAUUCGACAGUAUUCCUCAAUUACCUGAAUUCUCUGCUCGGAGCUGCAGGACAACGCGGCUGCUUUCCUCCAGGAUUGCUGGGACUUCUUCAUCUGGACCUGGUUGAAGCUGAGUUCCCACUGCAAUCUGUUCACCUCCUGUGAGAGAUGGAGGCGCCGACCACACCAGUCAAACGCGUUCUCACAAGCAGAGUUGAUCAUCAUCCCAUCAUCCCAUUGGCCAAGCCAAGGAGCGGCGUAUGCGACGCAUCGGGACCACAUUGAAUAUACCAGGUUUUCAGAUACUCGGAUAGAAACACUGCACGGUGAACGCUGGGUGGAGGAGUACGCUUUCAAUUUGGCCCGAAAAAAAGUAAACAAGCGAUCCCUCUCACUCCUUUUCACAUUUGUGGAGCGCCAAAAUGUGGAAAUAGUCACAAGAGCAAACGAGAGGAAGGUGUGACGAUUGUUUGUUGGACAUCGGAUCUCGAUGUGGACACGUAUUAAUGUGUAAGAUUGGAAUCACCAUAUUUCAAUGAGCUUAACUACAAUUAUCAUAUAAUACCACAUGUGUUGGAUUAUAUAUAUUAAGUUUGAAUACAAGCAUGGAUAUAAAGUUGCAUAUUAACAGUGAUAAAAUAUAUUCUAUGAUCUUCUAUAAGAUUGGUUUACUUAACCUACACUAGCAUUGUGUUAUACAGGUUCAAUGGCAGCGUAUCCAUCAGGAAAUUAAUAAUUAAUAAUGUAAAUCGUGGCACACUUUUGAAAUAAAAUACUUUUGAACCAUAAUCAUUAAAUCAUCACGGCAAAAGGCUCAAAUCCAAGUGAUGUGACACGUCUUUUUUUUAAUCCUCUUGUAAGGAUUAGUUGUAUGUUACGUGUGGCUUACAUGUGAAAUGUGUCUAAAUAAACAUUUUUUCCUGAA